UACGGAGGAUGCAAGCGUUAUCCGGAAUGAUUGGGCGUAAAGCGUCCGCAGGUGGCACUUCAAGUCUGCUGUUAAAUACUAGGGCUUAACCCUGGAGCGGCAGUGGAAACUGAAGAGCUAGAGUUCGGUAGGGGUAGAGGGAAUUCCCAGUGUAGCGGUGAAAUGCGUAGAGAUUGGGAAGAACACCGGUGGCGAAAGCGCUCUGCUGGGCCGAAACUGACACUGAGAGACGAAAGCUAGGGGAGCGAAAGGG
rnacentral:rRNA from 1 species